rnacentral:rRNA from 1 species
AGAGUUUGAUCCUGGCUCAGAAUCAACGCNNGGCGGCGUGCCUAACACAUGCAAGUCGAACGAGAAAGUGGAGCAAUCCAUGAGUAAAGUGGCGCACGGGUGAGUAACACGUGACUAACCUACCCUGGAGUGGGGGAUAACUGAGGGAAACCUUAGCUAAUACCGCAUAAUACCUACGGGUCAAAGGAGCAAUUCGCUUCAGGAGGGGGUCGCGGCCGAUUAGUUAGUUGGCGGGGUAAUGGCCCACCAAGACAGUGAUCGGUAUCCGGCCUGAGAGGGCGCACGGACACACUGGAACUGAAACACGGUCCAGACUCCUACGGGAGGCAGCAGUGGGGAAUUUUGCGCAAUGGGGGAAACCCUGACGCAGCAACGCCGCGUGGAGGAUGAAGUCCUUCGGGACGUAAACUCCUUUCGAUCGGGACGAUUAUGACGGUACCGGAAGAAGAAGCCCCGGCUAACUUCGUGCCAGCAGCCGCGGUAAUACGAGGGGGGCGAGCGUUGUUCGGAAUUAUUGGGCGUAAAGGGUGCGUAGGCGGUUUUGUAAGUCUUAUGUGAAAUCUAUGGGCUCAACUCAUAGACUGCAUGAGAAACUGCAGGGCUUGAGUAUGGGAGAGGUGAGUGGAAUUCCUGGUGUAGCGGUGAAAUGCGUAGAUAUCAGGAGGAACACCUGUGGCGAAAGCGGCUCACUGGACCAUAACUGACGCUGAUGCACGAAAGCUAGGGGAGCAAACAGGAUUAGAUACCCUAGUAGUCC